UGGGGAAUGAUCAUCCGGAUGUAGCGAAGCAGUUGAAUAAUCUGGCCCAGGUUUGUCAGAAUCAGGGCAAGUAUGAGGAGGUGGAGUGUUAUUACCGCAGAGCUCUGAAGAUCUAUGAAUGCAAACUCGGCCCAGAUGACCCCAAUGUGGCCGAAACCAAGAACAACCUGGCAUCCUGCCUUUUCAAACAAGGCAAAUAUAAAGAAGCUGAGAUUCUUUACAAAGAGAUUCUGACCAGUGCUCAUGAGAAGGAGUUUGGAUUGGUGGACGGUGA